UACGAAGGGUGCAAACGUUGCUCGGAAUUAUUGGGCGUAAAGCGCACGUAGGCGGCUUUGCAAGUCGGAUGUGAAAUCCCUCGGCUUAACCAAGGAAGUGCAUCCGAAACUGCAGAGCUUGAGUACUUAAGAGGAUCGCGGAAUUCCCGGUGUAGAGGUGAAAUUCGUAGAUAUCGGGAGGAACACCAGCGGCGAAGGCGGCGUCCUGGACUGGUACUGACGCUCAGGAGCGAAAGCGUGGGGAGCGAUCCGG
rnacentral:rRNA from 1 species